rnacentral:rRNA from 1 species
GGUGGUGCAUGGUUGUCGUCAGCUCGUGUCGUGAGAUGUUGGGUUAAGUCCCGCAACGAGCGCAACCCCUGCCCGCAGUAGCCAGCAUAUAAGAUGGGGACUCUGCGGGGACUGCCGGGGACAACCCGGAGGAAGGCGGGGAUGACGUCAAAUCAUCAUGCCCCUUAUGGCCUGGGCUACACACGUGCUACAAUGGCGCCGACAGAGGGAGGCGAAGCGGCGACGCGGAGCGAACCCCAAAAACGGCGUCCCAGUUCGGAUUGUAGUCUGCAACCCGACUACAUGAAGCCGGAAUCGCUAGUAAUCGCGGAUCAGAAUGCCGCGGUGAAUACGUUCCCGGGUCUUGUACACACCGCCCGUCACACCAUGGGAGCCGGGAAUGCCCGAAGUCUGUGACCGAACCCGUAAGGGGAGGGGCAGCCGAAGGCAGGCCCGGUGACUGGGGUGAAGUCGUAACAAGGUAGCCGUAUCGGAAGGUGCGGCUGGAUCACCUC